rnacentral:rRNA from 1 species
UACAGAGGUCCCAAGCGUUGUUCGGAUUCACUGGGCGUAAAGGGUGCGUAGGCGGUCGGGUAAGUCUGAUGUGAAAUCUCCAAGCUUAACUUGGAAAUGGCAUCGGAUACUAUUCGGCUGGAGGAAUGGAGGGGAGACUGGAAUACUUGGUGUAGCAGUGAAAUGCGUAGAUAUCAAGUGGAACACCAGUGGCGAAGGCGAGUCUCUGGACAUUUCCUGACGCUGAGGCACGAAAGCCAGGGGAGCAAACGGG